CUUGCUUAGGAUGAGACUCCAGAGGCUUGCAGCUGCCCUGAUGCUGAUGGUCGCUGCUUUCCAAAUGGUGGCGGCAGAAGGUGGUGAUGAUAUUUCCAACGGGUAUCCGAUUCCUGGCAAGUACAAGCUGGUGCAGUCUGCCAAAGUGGGCGUCGAUCUACAAAUCGAUGCCGGGAAACCAGCAGACAUUAACACCAAACUCAAGAUGAGUGGCUAAAGGUAAAGUUUGCGAAUCGGUUUCACGGACGGUCAUAGUAAAGGAAGUCCCCGCCAGCAUCUAAAUGAAUGUAAUGGCAGCCUGAACAGAGAAGGAUCCGUACAGACUUAAACCGUUCAAUAUUAAUUACUAUUUGUGCGUCUUGCAUACACUGUGCCUCACACAUACACGUAAGCACGCUUGCAAAUAUACACAUAAACCCAUACAUACAUAUACGUGUGUGGAAACGUAAAUGUAUUACUCAAUGUAAUACAUGUAUGUGUGUAUGUGCGUAUAUAUAUAUA